rnacentral:rRNA from 1 species
AUUGAACGCUGGCGGCAGGCCUAACACAUGCAAGUCGAACGAGUGGCGGACGGGUGAGUAAUGUCUGGGAAACUGCCCGAUGGAGGGGGAUAACUACUGUAACCGGUAGCUAAUACCGCAUACCAUCGGAUGUGCCCAGAUGGGUUUAGCUUGUAGGUGAGGUAACGGCUAACCAAGGCAACGAUCCCUAGCUGGUCUGAGAGGAUGACCAGCCACACUGGAACUGAGAAACGGUCCAGACUCCAACGGGAGGCAGCAGUGGGGAAUAUUGCAAAAGGGGCGGAAGCCUGAUGCAACCAUGCCGCGUGUAGGAAGAAGGCCUUCGGGUUGUAAAGUACUUUGAGCGGGGAGGCGUUACCCGCAGAAGAAGGACCGGCUAACUCCGUGCCAGCAGCCGCGGUAAUUC